CCUACGGGGGGAGCAGUGGGGAAUAUUGGACAAUGGGGGCAACCCUGAUCCAGCCAUGCCGCGUGUGUGAAGAAGGCCCUCGGGUUGUAAAGCACUUUCAGUGAGGAAGAACGCCUGGUGGUUAAUACCCAUCAGGAAAGACAUCACUCACAGAAGAAGCACCGGCUAACUCCGUGCCAGCAGCCGCGGUAAUACGGAGGGUGCGAGCGUUAAUCGGAAUUACUGGGCGUAAAGCGCGCGUAGGUGGCUUGAUAAGCCGGUUGUGAAAGCCCCGGGCUCAACCUGGGAACGGCAUCCGGAACUGUCAAGCUAGAGUGCAGGAGAGGAAGGUAGAAUUCCCGGUGUAGCGGUGAAAUGCGUAGAGAUCGGGAGGAAUACCAGUGGCGAAGGCGGCCUUCUGGACUGACACUGACACUGAGGUGCGAAAGCGUGGGUAGCAAACAGGAUUAGAUACCCGGGUAGUC
rnacentral:rRNA from 1 species